UACGGGGGGAGCAAGCGUUGUUCGGAUUUACUGGGCGUAAAGGGCGCGUAGGCGGCCACCGCAAGUCGAUUGUGAAAUCUCCGGGCUUAACUCGGAAAGGUCAACCGAUACUGCGGGGCUAGAGUGCAGAAGGGGCAACUGGAAUUCUCGGUGUAGCGGUGAAAUGCGUAGAUAUCGAGAGGAACACCUGCGGCGAAGGCGGGUUGCUGGGCUGACACUGACGCUGAUGUGCGAAAGCUAGGGGAGCGAACAGG
rnacentral:rRNA from 1 species